rnacentral:tRNA from 1 species
AGGGGGUUAGCUCAGUUGGUUAGAGCAUCUGCCUUACAAGCAGAGGGUCGACAGUUCUAAAUUUGUCACUCCCUA